GUAGACCUUUCAUGUGUAAAUCAGCCCGGGCCAGGAGCACCGGGGUCACCGGGAGGAGGAUUUCACUCUUAAUUACUCCCGGAGAAAGCGGGCGGGAGCGCGGCCCGGGCGCAGACUCCACCCUCGUCCGAGGGAGGCCUCGCUGGGAGCCCCGCGCCUGCCGGGUCUGGGCCCCUCGCUCCGCAGGCUGGGGAGCGCCUGCUCGCCGGGCCCGGGUCGGGCGCUUCCUGGGCCUGGCCUUGAUUUCUGCUGAACCCCGGCCAAGGCAAAGGCGCAGGUGCCUCCGGGGAGCAGGGCCCCAAGUGGGUUUCUUUGACGCCAAGACGUUUGGACGUGGAAAGAGGGCAAACAGCUUUGGCAGAGUGGGAGAUUUUAUUUAUUUAUUUGACAGAGAGAGGUCACAAGUAGGCAGAGAGGCAGGCAGAGAGAGAGGAAGGGAAGCAGGCCCCCCGCUGAGCAGAGAGCCCGAUGCGGGACUCGAUCCCAGGACCCUGAGAUCAUGACCUGAGCCGAAGGCAGCGGCUUAACCCACUGAGCCACCCAGGUGCCCCAGAAGUAUGAAGUAUUAAGAUGAACAGAAAAGAGACGAGUGAAGAGAAGGAAAAUGCCCAAAGAAGGAGUGAAGACCACAAAAAAAGACAGUGGAGGAGAUGAUGUCUGGAAGAAGUGAUUUGGAGUCUGCUGUCCCCUCAGUGCGGCGGCUGAGGGCUCCAUGGAGACCGCAUCACAGCCUCUAUCUACUCCCGCUUCCUGCCCUGCACAGCCCCACCGGGGUUAACCCAAGAACACCUUCUAAUA